AAUGUUGCCUUGGAAAUGAGAACUUGCUGUUCACAUGUGUCUCUUUUAACAGAUUACCAACUCCUUGAGGGCAUGAGGCUCUGCUCUGAUUAUCUGAAGGAAAAAAAAUGGGAAAAGUGAUCUGACAAAUGGUUUGGAAGAAAACAUUCUAGCUGAAAUUGAUGAUGGGAUCUUGCCAACUUUCUGCAAACAGCAUUUAACUGGUCCGAACUGAUGACCAAGAUCUUCCAGAAGAAUAGUGAACCAGCAAUGACUAUCAAGUAGUAGCCUAUUCAUCACACAAUCAAGGUUUCCUUUACUUUACCGGGACAGGCAUUUACAAGAAUUUGCUUGUGGGAGAACAUAUGAGCAAAAUCGCUACCUCUAAAAGUCGAUAUAUGGACCAAAUUACAUACUAUGAUUACCUGGCAUCAGAUGCAGAUUGGUGCUACCUGAUUUUAAAACUACCUGGGAAAUUCAAGACACUGGCAUUUCAAAUAAAGGUAAAUAGCUAGUGUGAUAUAAUGAAUUAGAGAACAGUCUGUUAAUUAUAAUAUGCUUGUCUUU
rnacentral:lncRNA from 1 species